UACGUAGGGGGCCAGCGUUGUCCGGAAUCAUUGGGCGUAAAGCGUGCGCAGGCGGUUUUGCAAGCCGGAUGUGAAAUCCCCGGGCUUAACCUGGGAAUGGCAUUUGGGACUGCAAGGCUGGAGUGCGGCAGAGGAGACUGGAAUUCCUGGUGUAGCAGUGAAAUGCGUAGAUAUCAGGAGGAACACCGAUGGCGAAGGCAGGUCUCUGGGCUGACACUGACGCUCAUGCACGAAAGCGUGGGGAGCAAACAGG
rnacentral:rRNA from 1 species